rnacentral:siRNA from 1 species
CACCAUUGCUUGGUAAACGAAGGU